UUGUUUGGUUAAGAUUUCUAAGGUUCCAAUAUCAGACCGUGUAGUUGUAUUCACGCGGUCAUUUAGCAUGCACGCGUUUCUUGUUGCACGCGAUUUUUCCUGAGUUUUUAAUUUGGUUUAUUGCGUCAUAUUCGGUAGAUCAUCAUGGAUUGCGUUUUCCUAAUUAUUGAUUGCACUUGGAAUUAUCGUGACACGCGAAUUAAUUCUAUCAUGUUACACCAGUGUAGUUGGCUGCCGUUAUCAAUUGAGAGGUGUGCAUCGCAAUUGCGGAAAAUAACACUGAUGGAAGGAUCGUUUGUAACAACAUCUCGAUUUUAAUUUUGAGGAUAAGUUGCCUAAUCAAAUGGACUGCAUUCCAAUACAUUCAAGGUUUCUGGAGUACACUUAAUUCGAUCUCCAAUUUUCAUCACUUCUGCGUUAUAAUGGAAAACGGUCUGUAGUUCACGUUUCCCUGGCCUGAUAUUAAUUUUAAUUUACUAAGAGAGAAAGAAUUGUCUAAUCGAAUGAACUGCAUUCAGUCACCUUCAUGGGUAGAGAAGUGCCCUUAAAUUACUCUCAAACUUCAGCAAUUUUUGUUAUUUUUGUAAAGUUGCUGUGGAAAAUGCGGUGUAAAUUGGUCUGUAUCUCCUGUUUCCUUGACACGAUUUUAAUUCUGUUUGCUUCAGGUGAUAGAAGAAGAGUUCGUUAGUCGUAUGAACUACAUUCAGUCACCAUCAAGUGUCGGUAAAUGCCCUUAAAACACUAUCAAACUUCAGCUAUUUUUGUCAUUUUUGAAAAGUUGCGAUGGAAAAUGGUCUGUAUCUCGCGUUUCCUUGACUAGAUUUUAAUUCUGUUUGCUUUAUGUGAUAGAAGAAGAGUUCCUUAGUCGUAUGAACUACAUUCAGUCACCAUCAAGGGACGGGAAGUGCCCUUAAAUCAAUCUCAAACUUCAGCAAUUUUUGUCAUUUUUGAAAAGUUGCGGUGGAAAAUGGUCUGUAUCUCGCGUUUCCUUGAUGGAUUUUAAGCUUGUUUGCUUCAGCUGAUAGAAGAAGUGUUCUUUAAUGGUAUGAACUGCAUUCAGUUAUCCUCAACGAUCGGGAAGUGCCCUUAAAUCACUUUCAAACUUCAGCAAUUUUUGCCAUUUUUGAGAAGUUGCUGUGGAAAAGGGUCUGUAUCUCGCGUUCCCUUGACUGGAUUUUAAUUUUGUUUGCUUGAGGUGAUAGAAGAAGAGUUCUUUAGCCGUAUUAAUUACAUUCAGUCACCAUCAAGGGUUGGGAAGUGUUCUUAAAUCACUCUCAAACUUCAGCAAUUUUUGUCAUUAUUGAAAAGUUGUGGUAGAAAAUGGUCUGUAUCUCACGCUUUCCUGACUCGAUUUUGAAUAUCUGGAAGUAUUAAAUUAAUCUCCAAUUA